rnacentral:rRNA from 1 species
CCUACGGGAGGCUGCAGUGAGGAAUAUUGGUCAAUGGGCGGAAGCCUGAACCAGCCAAGUAGCGUGCGGGAUGCAGGCACUACGGGUCGUAAACCGCUUUUGCACGGGGAUAACACCCUCCACUUGUGGAGGUCUGCAGGUACCGUGCGAAUAAGGGCCGGCUAAUUCCGUGCCAGCAGCCGCGGUAAUACGGAAGGCCCGAGCGUUAUCCGGAUUCAUUGGGCUUAAAGGGAGCGUAGGCGGGCGUUAAAGUCAGCUGUAAAAGCGCGCGGCUCAACCGCGCCCCGCAGUUGAAACUGGACGCCUUGAGUUCACAACAGGCAGGCGGAAUUCGUGGUGUAGCGGUGAAAUGCAUAGAUAUCACGAGGAACACCGAUUGCGAAGGCAGCCUGCCGGGGUGCGACUGACGCUGAGGCUCGAAGGUGCGGGUAUCAAACAGGAUUAGAUACCCGUGUAGUC